rnacentral:rRNA from 1 species
AGAGUUUGAUCAUGGCUCAGAAUCAACGCUGGCGGCGUGCCUCAGACAUGCAAGUCGAACGCGAAAGUUCCCUUCGGGGGGCGAGUAGAGUGGCGCACGGGUGAGUAACACGUAGGUAAUCUACCUUUGGAUGGGGAAUAACAACCGGAAACGGUUGCUAAUACCGCAUAAUGCAGCGGCACCUAAUGGUGACAGUUGUUAAAGCGGGGGAUCGUAAGACCUCGCGUCUGAAGAGGAGCCUGCGGCAGAUUAGCUAGUUGGUAAGGUAACGGCUUACCAAGGCGAUGAUCUGUAGCCGGCCUGAGAGGGCGGUCGGCCACACUGACACUGACAUACGGGUCAGACUCCUACGGGAGGCAGCAGUCGGGAAUUUUGGGCAAUGGGCGAAAGCCUGACCCAGCAACGCCGCGUGAAGGAUGAAAUCCCUCGGGAUGUAAACUUCGCAAGAACGGGAAGAAUAAGUAAGGGUUAAUAUCUCUUAUGAUGACGGUACUGUUUGUAAGUUCCGGCUAACUCCGUGCCAGCCGCCGCGGUAAUUC